UGUACGUAUUCAAAGUAUCUACUAACAGUGUUGGGAAUGUUACUUUAAAACAGUAAUUAGUUAUAGUUACUCACUACUUGUUCCAAAAAGUAACUAAGUUAGUAACUGAAUUACUCUAUGAUAAGA